rnacentral:SRP_RNA from 1 species
UCGUGCUAGAUGGGGAGCUAGCGGUGCCCUGUACCCGCAAUCCGCUUUAGCGGGAUCGAAAGCCUUCUUGAGGUUCUGAGUCUCUCGAGACUGCCGGGGAAAAGUGGCGUAGAAGGCCGGGUCCUGCGCGGCAGAAGCCUAUGAACCCCGUCAGGUCCGGAAGGAAGCAGCGGUAAAUAGUCACUUCUGGGCGCCGCAGGGUCACCUGGUUGGAGCUAACUGGCUCCGGCAAGUCGGGAGUCUCGAAUCGAAGGAGGUUGCACGA